UUCCCUCAGGAUAGCUGGAGC
rnacentral:snRNA from 1 species